rnacentral:rRNA from 1 species
CGUAGGAAUCUACCUAGUAGUACGGAAUAGCCAUUAGAAAUGAUGGGUAAUACUGUAUAAUCCCCGCGGGGGAAAGAUUUAUCGCUAUUAGAUGAGCCUACGUUAGAUUAGCUAGUUGGUAAGGUAAUGGCUUACCAAGGCUAUGAUCUAUAGCUGGUCUGAGAGGACGAUCAGCCACACUGGAACUGAGAUACGGUCCAGACUCCUACGGGGGGCAGCAGUGGGGAAUAUUGGACAAUGGGCGAAGGCCUGAUCCAGCUAUGCCGCGUGAGUGAAGAAGGCCUUCGGGUUGUAAAACUCUUUCAAUAGGGAAGAUAAUGACGGUACCUAUAGAAGAAGUCCCGGCAAACUCUGUGCCAGCAGCCGCGGUAAUACGGAGGGGGCAAGCGUUGUUCGGAAUUAUUGGGCGUAAAGGGCACGUAGGUGGACUAGUAAGUUAAAAGUGAAAUACCAAAGCUUAACUUUGGAGCGGCUUUUAAUACUGCUAGACUAGAGGUCGAAAGAGGAUAGCGGAAUUCCUAGUGUAGAGGUGAAAUUCGUAGAUAUUAGGAGGAACACCAGUUGCGAAGGCGGCUAUCUGGUUCGAUACUGACACUGAGGUGCGAAAGCGUGGGGAGCAAACAGGAUUAGAUACCCUGGUAGUCCACGCUGUAAACGAUGAGUGCUAAAUGUGAGGAUUUUAUCUUUGUAUUGUAGCUAACGCGUUAAGCACUCCGCCUGGGGACUACGGUCGCAAGACUAAAACUCAAAGGAAUUGACGGGGACCCGCACAAGCGGUGGAGCAUGUGGUUUAAUUCGAUGCUACGCGAAAAACCUUACCACUUUUUGACAUGAAGGUCGUAUCCCUCCUAACAGGGGGAGUCAGUUCGGCUGGACCUUACACAGGUGCUGCAUGGUUGUCGUCAGCUCGUGUCGUGAGAUGUUGGGUUAAGUCCCGCAACGAGCGCAACCCUCAUUCUUAGUUACCAACAGGUAAUGCUGGGCACUCUAAGGAAACUGCCAGUGAUAAACUGGAGGAAGGUGGGGAUGAUGUCAAAUCAGCACGGCCCUUAUAAGGUGGGCUACACACGUGCUACAAUGGCAACUACAAUAGGUUGCGAGACCGCAAGGUUUAGCUAAUCCAUAAAAGUUGU